GCCUUCGUGGUGUAGUGGUCAGCACACUCGGCAUGUAUUCGAGAGUUCCGAGGUUCGAGUCCCGGCCAAGGCA
rnacentral:tRNA from 1 species